CUCCAGACUCCUACGGGAGGCAGCAGUGAGGAAUAUUGGUCAAUGGGCUUACGCCUGAACCAGCCAAGUCGCGUGAGGGAAGACUGCCCUAUGGGUUGUAAACCUCUUUUGUCAGGGAGCAAUUGGCGCUACGUGUAGCGUUAUCGAGAGUACCUGAAGAAAAAGCAUCGGCUAACUCCGUGCCAGCAGCCGCGGUAAUACGGAGGAUGCGAGCGUUAUCCGGAUUUAUUGGGUUUAAAGGGUGCGUAGGCGGAAUGCCAAGUCAGCGGUAAAAUCGCGGGGCUCAACCUCGCUCCGCCGUUGAAACUGGCGUUCUUGAGUGGGCGAGAAGUAUGCGGAAUGCGUGGUGUAGCGGUGAAAUGCUUAGAUAUCAUGAAGAACUCCGAUCGCGAAGGCAAGUGUCCGGGGUGCAACUGACGCUGAGGCUCGAAAGUGCGGGUAUCAAACAGGAUUAGAUACCCCGGUAC
rnacentral:rRNA from 1 species